rnacentral:tRNA from 1 species
AUUUGUCUAGUAUAAAUUUGUAUUAUUGACUUCCAAUCAAAAGGUCUGAUAUUCAUCAGGACAAAUA